GACGAACGCUGGCGGCGUGCUUAACACAUGCAAGUCGAACGGAAAGGCCCUGCUUUUGUGGGGUGCUCGAGUGGCGAACGGGUGAGUAACACGUGAGUAACCUGCCCUUGACUUUGGGAUAACUUCAGGAAACUGGGGCUAAUACCGGAUAGGAGCUCCUGCUGCAUGGUGGGGGUUGGAAAGUUUCGGCGGUUGGGGAUGGACUCGCGGCUUAUCAGCUUGUUGGUGGGGUAGUGGCUUACCAAGGCUUUGACGGGUAGCCGGCCUGAGAGGGUGACCGGCAACAUUGGGACUGAGAUACGGCCCAGACUCCUACGGGAGGCAGCAGUGGGGAAUAUUGCACAAUGGGCGGAAGCCUGAUGCAGCAACGCCGCGUGCGGGAUGACGGCCUUCGGGUUGUAAACCGCUUUCGCCUGUGACGAAGCGUGAGUGACGGUAAUGGGUAAAGAAGCACCGGCUAACUACAUG
rnacentral:rRNA from 1 species